rnacentral:tRNA from 1 species
UAGAAAGUGGUGUAAUGGAGGCACUUAGAGUUUUGAUCUCUCCAGAUUGGGUUCGAGUCCCUUCUUUCUAA